AACACCAGUGGCGAAGGCGGCCUCCUGGCUUGUGCCUGACGCUGAGGCGCGAAAGCGUGGGGAGCGAACGGGAUUAGAAACCCCGGUAGUCCACGCUGUAAACGAUGUCAACUAGGCGUCGGCGGUGUAGAAUCCGUCGGUGUCGAAGCAAACGCGUUAAGUUGACCGCCUGGGGACUACGAUCGCAAGAUUAAAACUCAAAGGAAUUGACGGGGACCCGCACAAGCAGCGGAGCGUGUGGUUUAAUUCGAGGCUACGCGAAGAACCUUACCAGGGAUUGACAUGCACGUAGUAGGGAAGCGAAAGCGGACCGACCCUUCGGGGAGCGUGCACAGGUGAUGCAUGGCUGUCGUCAGCUCGUGCCGUGAGGUGUCAGGUUAAGUCCUGUAACGAGCGCAACCCCUGUCGUGUGUUAUACGUGUCACACGAGACUGCCGGUGUCAAACCGGAGGAAGGCGGGGAUGACGUCAAGUCAGCAUGUCCUUCAUAUCCUGGGCUACACACACGCUACAAUGGUCGGGACAAUAGGCAGCCAAGCCGCGAGGCGGAGCUAAUCCUCUAAACCCGAUCUCAGUUCGGAUUGUAGGCUGCAACUCGCCUGCAUGAAGCCGGAGUUGCUAGUAAACGCGCGUCAGCAACAGUGCGUUGAAUACGUUCCCGGGUCUUGUACACACCGCCCGUCACGUCAUGGAAGCUGGCAACACCUGAAGCCGGUGGCCUAACCGCAAGGAGGGAGCCGUCCAAGGUGGGGUUGGUGACUGGGACGAAGUCGUAACAAGGUAGCUGUAGCGGAAGCUGC
rnacentral:rRNA from 1 species